rnacentral:sRNA from 1 species
ACGGGCACGGACGCCCGUGGUUUCUAAUAGAAGCGAUGUUUUAAAGCAAGGCUAUUUGCAAAGCUUUAAAACUCGUGGUUUAGUUUUUGCCAUGGACGGCAAAAACUAAACCGUU